GCUAAGAAUCUUCCGCAAUGGGGGAAACCCUGACGGAGCGACGCCGCGUGGGCGAUGAAGGCCGUAAGGUUGUAAAGCCCUUUUGCAGGCGAAGAAUGAGGUGGGGAGUGGAAAGCCCCGCUGAUGACGUUAGCCUGCGAAGAAGCCCCGGCCAAUUACGUGCCAGCAGCCGCGGUAAUACGUAUGGGGCGAGCGUUGUUCGGAGUUAUUGGGCGUAAAGGGCGUGUAGGCGGCCUGCUUUGUCUGGUGUGAAAACGCAGGGCUCAACCCUGCGGUUGCGCUGGAAACGGGCGGGCUUGAGUUCCGGGGGGGAAGUCGGAAUUCCUGGUGUAGGGGUGAAAUCUGUAGAGAUCAGGAAGAACACCGGUGGCGAAGGCGGGCUUCUACUCGAGGACUGACGCUGAGGCGCGAAAGCGUGGGGAGCAAACAGGAUUAGAAACCCCAGUAGUCC
rnacentral:rRNA from 1 species